UCUACAGCUUAAUAAAUUUUAAGUAAAAUAUAUAAUAGCAAGAACUCUUGGAUGGUAGGAAGCCUAAAGUUUGCUUCCUGAGGUCUGCUUCUCAGCCGGGGCUGGUGGCGCAGCCCUGUAAUCCGGCGACGCGGAGGCUUGGCCCCUGGACGGCUUGAGGCGAGGAGCACUGCUGCGGGACUCUCCUAUGUUGAGUGGGCGUCCGCACUAAGCUCGGCAUCAACAUGGCCGACCCUGGGGAACCGGGGGCGUCCAGGUUGUCUAAGGAGGUGUGCACCGGGCCAGGGGGGAAACCCAGCAGCCAAAA